AAGGUGCUGCAUGGUUGUCGUCAGCUCGUGCCGUGAGGUGUCAGGUUAAGUCCUAUAACGAGCGCAACCCCUACCGUUAGUUGCCAGCAUGUCAUGAUGGGGACUCUAACGGGACUGCCGGUGCAAACCGCGAGGAAGGUGGGGAUGACGUCAAAUCAUCACGGCCCUUACGUCCUGGGCCACACACGUGCUACAAUGGCCGGUACAGAGAGCAGCCACGUCGCAAGGCGGAGCGAAUCUACAAAACCGGUCACAGUUCGGAUCGGGGUCUGCAACUCGACCCCGUGAAGCUGGAAUCGCUAGUAAUCGGAUAUCAGCCAUGAUCCGGUGAAUACGUUCCCGGGCCUUGUACACACCGCCCGUCAAGCCAUGGAAGCUGGGAGUGCCUGAAGUCGGUUACCGCAAGGAGCCGCCUAGGGUAAAACUGGUAACUAGGGCUAAGUCGUAACAAGGUAGCCGUACCGGAAGGUGCGGCUGGAUCACCUCCUU
rnacentral:rRNA from 1 species